rnacentral:rRNA from 1 species
GAUGAACGCUGGCGGCGUGCCUAAUACAUGCAAGUCGAGCGAACAGACGAGGAGCUUGCUCCUCUGACGUUAGCGGCGGACGGGUGAGUAACACGUGGAUGACCUACCUAUAAGACUGGGAUAACUUCGGAAAACCGGAGCUAAUACCGGAUAAUAUAUUGAACCGCAUGGUUCAAUAGUGAAAGACGGUUUUGCUGUCACUUAUAGAUGGAUCCGCGCCGCAUUAGCUAGUUGGUAAGGUAACGGCUUACCAAGGCAACGAUGCGUAGCCGACCUGAGAGGGUGAUCGGCCACACUGGAACUGAGACACGGUCCAGACUCCUACGGGAGGCAGCAGUAGGGAAUCUUCCGCAAUGGGCGAAAGCCUGACGGAGCAACGCCGCGUGAGUGAUGAAGGUCUUCGGAUCGUAAAACUCUGUUAUUAGGGAAGAACAAAUGUGUAAGUAACUAUGCACGUCUUGACGGUACCUAAUCAGAAAGCCACGGCUAACUACGUG